CCACUCCGUGGUUUGCAUCGAGCGAGGGGCCCCAUGGCGGCUGCGGGGUGGGAACGGUGCCUUGGGGACUGGAGGGGGGAGGCCGUAAUGGUGCUGCCGGCAACGAGAGGCAGCCCUAGUGCACCGGCCGACCCCCGCAUCCGACAACUGGCGGGUCCAGAAGGUCUACGGAGAAGCCUGAGUAGAGCUCGGCUGAUCGGCUGCCUCCUCCUCGGGCACCAGCGGCUGCGGAGCCGGAGAAGCUCCUGAAGAGCUUCCGUGGGGCUUACGGACACUUGCUGCUCAGGAUCUUUGUUCUAUAAGUUACAAGCAUGCUUCACAUCGCAAUUAUUUCACCCAAAAUUAAGGCAUGCUGUUGCAGGAUGAAAGUAGUUACGGUUUUAUAUAUGGGGCUUGGCAACCAAAUCUAGUUUUAGUUUGAGAUCUACCAGCAGUUUUCUCUGCCUGCCUCAGCUCAGCUACAAGCGCUGAAGGAGAAAAAAAAAUAAAACUGACCUACAUUUUAUAUUUAGCUAGUAACUACAACUUUCAUGUAUUUGCAUUUAUGUAAGGGUUCGGACUUGUUAGAACUUGAGGCCUGAUAUAUGAGUCUGGGGAUGUUUGUCAGCUACAAAAGUUUUUUUUUCAGCUGAUAUGAACAUCCCAGUAUUUAGAGACUUGUACUUACUGUAGAAGUCUUGACCAAAGUUACUUGAUUUAUUGGAGACUCUGGAAGUCUGAUAGAAAUACUUAUUGUUGCCACACAUCCUUUUAUAUUAGAUGAUAUAAAUGCCUACUUGUUACCAAUGUCACUCAUCAAAACCAGUACAUGGCCAAACUUAGGUUAACCUUCUUCUGGGAGCAAAGAUCUAUUUUCAGUACCAGAGAUAUCUAGGAGGAAGCUGGGUUCUUGUAGAUGAUUAAAAAAAAAAAAGUCUUUAUAGUGUUAGAACCAACUGGAAAGUUUGUCAAUCAUGCGUGCACCUGACACUCUAAAGAUAAACCUAGGACAUGCAGAAAUAAAAAUGAGUUCUGGAUUUUUUCCCCUCUUCAUGUAACUAAAGGA